rnacentral:rRNA from 1 species
UACGUAGGGUGCAAGCGUUAAUCGGAAUUACUGGGCGUAAAGCGUGCGCAGGCGGUUAUGCAAGACAGAUGUGAAAUCCCCGGGCUCAACCUGGGAACUGCAUUUGUGACUGCAUGGCUAGAGUACGGUAGAGGGGGAUGGAAUUCCGCGUGUAGCAGUGAAGUGCGUAGAUAUGCGGAGGAACACCGAUGGCGAAGGCAAUCCCCUGGACCUGUACUGACGCUCAUGCACGAAAGCGUGGGGAGCAAACAGG